rnacentral:rRNA from 1 species
AGAGUUUGAUCCUGGCUCAGGACGAACGCUGGCGGCGCGCCUAACACAUGCAAGUCGAACGAGCGAGAGAGAGCUUGCUUUCUCGAGCGAGUGGCGAACGGGUGAGUAACGCGUGAGGAACCUGCCUCAAAGAGGGGGACAACAGUUGGAAACGACUGCUAAUACCGCAUAAGCCCACGGCUCGGCAUCGAGCAGAGGGAAAAGGAGCAAUCCGCUUUGAGAUGGCCUCGCGUCCGAUUAGCUAGUUGGUGAGGUAACGGCCCACCAAGGCGACGAUCGGUAGCCGGACUGAGAGGUUGAACGGCCACAUUGGGACUGAGACACGGCCCAGACUCCUACGGGAGGCAGCAGUGGGGAAUAUUGCACAAUGGGGGAAACCCUGAUGCAGCGACGCCGCGUGGAGGAAGAAGGUCUUCGGAUUGUAAACUCCUGUUGUUGAGGAAGAUAAUGACGGUACUCAACAAGGAAGUGACGGCUAACUACGUGCCAGCAGCCGCGGUAAAACGUAGGUCACAAGCGUUGUCCGGAAUUACUGGGUGUAAAGGGAGCGCAGGCGGGAAGACAAGUUGGAAGUGAAAUCCAUGGGCUCAACCCAUGAACUGCUUUCAAAACUGUUUUUCUUGAGUAGUGCAGAGGUAGGCGGAAUUCCCGGUGUAGCGGUGGAAUGCGUAGAUAUCGGGAGGAACACCAGUGGCGAAGGCGGCCUACUGGGCACCAACUGACGCUGAGGCUCGAAAGUGUGGGUAGCAAACAGGAUUAGAUACCCUGGUAGUCCACACCGUAAACGAUGAUUACUAGGUGUUGGAGGAUUGACCCCUUCAGUGCCGCAGUUAACACAAUAAGUAAUCCACCUGGGGAGUACGACCGCAAGGUUGAAACUCAAAGGAAUUGACGGGGGCCCGCACAAGCAGUGGAGUAUGUGGUUUAAUUCGAAGCAACGCGAAGAACCUUACCAGGUCUUGACAUCGAGUGACGUACCUAGAGAUAGGUAUUUUCUUCGGAACACAAAGACAGGUGGUGCAUGGUUGUCGUCAGCUCGUGUCGUGAGAUGUUGGGUUAAGUCCCGCAACGAGCGCAACCCUUAUGGUCAGUUACUACGCAAGAGGACUCUGGCCAGACUGCCGUUGACAAAACGGAGGAAGGUGGGGAUGACGUCAAAUCAUCAUGCCCUUUAUGACUUGGGCUACACACGUACUACAAUGGCGUUAAACAAAGAGAAGCAAGACCGCGAGGUGGAGCAAAACUCAGAAACAACGUCCCAGUUCGGACUGCAGGCUGCAACUCGCCUGCACGAAGUCGGAAUUGCUAGUAAUCGUGGAUCAGCAUGCCACGGUGAAUACGUUCCCGGGCCUUGUACACACCGCCCGUCACACCAUGGGAGUGGGUUGCAAAAGAAGUAGGUAGCUUAACCUUCGGGAGGGCGCUUACCACUUUGUGAUUCAUGACUGGGGUGAAGUCGUAACAAGGUAACCGUAGGGGAACCUGCGGUUG